rnacentral:rRNA from 1 species
AUUGAACGCUGGCGGAAUGCUUUACACAUGCAAGUCGAACGGCAGCACGGACUUCGGUCUGGUGGCGAGUGGCGAACGGGUGAGUAACAUAUCGGAACGUAUCCAAUAAUGGGGGAUAACGAGUCGAAAGAUUCGCUAAUACCGCAUACGCCCUACGGGGGAAAGCAGGGGAUCUUCGGACCUUGCGUUAAUGGAGCGGCCGAUAUCUGAUUAGCUAGUUGGUGAGGUAAAGGCUCACCAAGGCGACGAUCAGUAGCUGGUCUGAGAGGACGACCAGCCACACUGGACCUGAGACACGGUCCAGACUCCUACGGGAGGCAGCAGUGGGGAAUUUUGGACAAUGGGGGCAACCCUGAUCCAGCCAUUCCGCGUGAGUGAAGAAGGCCUUCGGGUUGUAAAGCUCUUUCGCAAGGGAAGAAAACUUAUCUAAUAACACUAGGUGAGGCUGACGGUACCUUGAUAAGAAGCACCGGCUAACUACGUGCCAGCCGCCGCCGUAAGAC